ACAUUAUCUAGAACACCUGUGUAUGUUUAACAGAUAUAAGCUAUGUAUAUAUUGAAACGCUGGUUAUGAUAAACUCAGAGUGGCCAUCAGCCUAUCCUGGUGUGUACGUUGGAUCACAACACCAACAGUAAGAAACUCAGUAAGACGUAAUUAUGGCUGGGCCCAGGGAGGGAGCAGUGAAGGUGUGGAAAGUGGUCAUAUUCUAGAUGUAACUUGAUGAUAGAGCCAACAGGAUUUGCUGAUGAAUUGAAUAUGGUGUAUGGGGGAAGAGAGGAAUCAAGGACCACAUUGAGGUUUUGGCCUAAGCAAUGGGAAGGACGCAGCAUUCUCACUAACUGAAAUGGGGAGGGUUGCGGAAGGAGCAGGUUUGAGGGAAAAUUUAGGAAAUUAAUUUCAGAUGUACUGUGUUUGAGAAGCUUGUUCUGAGUCUGCAGUUCCCAGGUGGGAUAAGGACUAGACAUAAAUUUGGAAGUUGUCAGCAUAGAAAUGGCUUUGAAAGCUGUGGGAUUUGAUGAGAUCCUGUAAGAGUGGGUGUAUGAAGAGAAGCAGAACAAGGCCUAAGUCUCAGGAGGUCAGGGAACUGAGAACCAGCAAAGCAGCCUGAGAAGGAGCAGCGCAUGCAGCAGGAGAGUGCAUAUACCCUCGGGUGUCUAAGGCAGGACCAACCAUCACCGCUGACAUGGAGGAAGACAGAGCUUCAUGGUACAGUUAUAAGCAUAGUCCGUCAAGAUAUCCCUUCUGGAAACCCCUAAUGGUCCCUUCACUGUACAUGGACAUCAUAGAACAUGAUGAAAUCAGAGUAAACCAAUGAGGUUAGCUUCUGUUGUCUGCGCUGAGGAGCCCUCACACAGACCUCUAAACUGGGGGAAUCCUGGAGUCAGAUUGUCCCACUCCUGCUGUUCCCAGUCUCUGCCACAUGGAGUCACUAUGGAGAAGCUGGCUCUUCACUCUUCUGGCCCCAACGCUGGCCCACUUGGCUGCCAAGCCUCCAGGUCCCAGGUCACUGUUCAGAGUUCUUGGUGUGUCGAGGGGCUGCGAUGCCAUUCCUUUCUAGCUCAGCUGAGGGUGCCUCACAUGCUGGUUUCCCAGCUUGCCGCCCUUCGUCCUAUUCUCUUUUCACCUCAUGCACAGAUAUCUUUCCAGGUCUGCUGGAUCAGGACAAGGUGGUGGUUUUAAAACAUGCCACAAAUUCUUUGACAUCCCUCCCAUCAAGAGAUGGAUUCUAUUUCCUCCUCUUGAACUUGAUCAGGUCUCUGUCAUGUGAGUGAGGCUAAAUGACUUCCAAGGCUGGUUGAAAAAGGCCACUCAGGUUCUGCUGGGACACAUGUCAGGGCUCUGUAAGAAGUCUGAUGCCCCUGAAUUGCCAUGGUGAGAGCCAUGUGGAGAGACCACAGAGAGGGAGAUCUCAAGAAACCCAGCGUGAGUCCUCCCAGCCCAGACUGCAGAUGUGCGAGUGAAGACACCUUCAAGAUGGCCCUUGCCCUGGCCCUGUCUGAGGUCAACUGCAUGAGAGGAUGGAAGAACUGCCCUGCUGAGCCUGGCCAAUCCCCAAAUGCAUGACCAAAAUAAUAAACAACUGUAUUUAAAUCACUGGUUUUGGGUUCUUUCUUCACAGCGACAGGUAACCAAAAACUCCCUGCCAUUCAAUGACAAAACGAAUUAAAAAUCUUGUCAGCAUGGGAACGGGAGGAGGAGUCACUGUUUAAUGGGCAGAGUUUCAGCUUGGGAAAAGUUUCUGGAGAUGGAUGGUGGUGAUGGUUGCACAACAAUGUGAAUGUACUUAAUGCCACUGAACUGUAUACUUCAAAAUGGUAAAAAUGGUAAAAUUUUGUUAUGCAUAUUUUACCAAAAUUUUUAAAAAGCAAAAAAAAUCUGGGCAGCAACUGAUUUUGAAAUAUAUGCAGAAAUGGCCAUUUCUUUCAUUAAAACAACUGGAUUCUAUCCAGAAUUGGAUCCCAGGUAUUGAAGAUAAUAUUUAUGAGAAAAAUAUACCUCUAUCUUCAAGAUGAUGAUACCUGUGCUUUAAAAAUAUAAUAAAAGCAGCUAAAGUGUAUGCAUUGAGCUCCUUCUGUGAACCAAAGGCUAGGGAUGCAGUUGGAAGGAAGACAGACAAAGUCUCUCUUCUCCUGUGUCUUCCAUUGUGGAGGGGCAAGGGGUGGUUGGAGGGUGAGCACUGUGGGGGGAGGGGUAGGCAAAUGGAAAUGGAAUAUGUUGGGUGAUGACAAGUGCUAUGCUGAGAUUAAAGCAGGGUCAUGUGAUAGAGACUGGGUGCCUGCUGUACAUUGGGUCCACGGGGGAGCCCCGAAUGGAUGGUGGUGCCAUUUACUAUGGUGGGAGAUGCAGGUUUAGGAAGGGAGAUCAAGAGUUGUGGGCUGGAGAUCUUGUCAAGAUGGCGGCAGAGG